AUCGCUUCUCAGCCUUUUGGCUAAGAUCAAGUGUAGUAUCAGAAUGAAUAUAAUGGUCUCUGGGAUAUUUGAUCAAUUCUUGUUUAAGUGAAUUCUCUCCUUGGAUUCAGAGUUGAUUCAGUGAUUAAGGAAUACUUUAAAUAACUCUGUUUCC
rnacentral:snRNA from 1 species